rnacentral:rRNA from 1 species
GAUGAACGCUGGCGGCGUGCCUAAUACAUGCAAGUCGAGCGAACAGACGAGGAGCUUGCUCCUCUGACGUUAGCGGCGGACGGGUGAGUAACACGUGGAUAACCUACCUAUAAGACUGGGAUAACUUCGGGAAACCGGAGCUAAUACCGGAUAAUAUAUUGAACCGCAUGGUUCAAUAGUGAAAGACGGUUUUGCUGUCACUUAUAGAUGGAUCCGCGCCGCAUUAGCUAGUUGGUAAGGUAACGGCUUACCAAGGCAACGAUGCGUAGCCGACCUGAGAGGGUGAUCGGCCACACUGGAACUGAGACACGGUCCAGACUCCUACGGGAGGCAGCAGUAGGGAAUCUUCCGCAAUGGGCGAAAGCCUGACGGAGCAACGCCGCGUGAGUGAUGAAGGUCUUCGGAUCGUAAAACUCUGUUAUUUGGGAAGAACAAAUGUGUAAGUAACUAUGCACGUCUUGACGGUACCGUAAGAAUAAGCACCGGCUAACUACGUGCCAGCCGCCGCCGUAACAC